UACGUAGGGAGCAAGCGUUGUCCGGAAUUACUGGGUGUAAAGGGAGCGUAGGCGGGACAGCAAGUUGAAUGUGAAAUCUAUGGGCUCAACCCAUAAACUGCGUUCAAAACUGCUGUUCUUGAGUGAAGUAGAGGCAGGCGGAAUUCCUAGUGUAGCGGUGAAAUGCGUAGAUAUUAGGAGGAACACCAGUGGCGAAGGCGGCCUGCUGGGCUUUAACUGACGCUGAGGCUCGAAAGCGUGGGUAGCAAAAAGG
rnacentral:rRNA from 1 species